CUCCUCUCAAGGCCAACAGAUGGCCUUCCACGACCAGAGCAACAACUGUUAAAUAUGAUAUACUUAGCGGCCCGUAGAACACUAGCACAGAAAUGGCUAUGUCCAGAAAUGCCCCCUGUAGCACUGGUAGUAGCGAAGAUAAAAGAUAAUUACCUUAUGGACAGAUUAACUUCCCUGGUCAGGCAUACCACCAAAAAAAUUUAGCAAAAAUGGGAUCUAUGGGAACAAUAUCAGGAAAACAUGGAGGGCGGAC